GACGAACGCUGGCGGCGUGCUUAACACAUGCAAGUCGAACGGAAAGGCCCUGCUUUUGUGGGGUGCUCGAGUGGCGAACGGGUGAGUAACACGUGAGUAACCUGCCCUUGACUCUGGGAUAACUUCAGGAAACUGGGGCUAAUACCGGAUAGGCGCUCCUGCUGCAUUGUGGGGGUUGGAAAGUUUCGGCGGUUGGGGAUGGACUCGCGGCUUGUCAGCUUGUUGGUGGGGUAGUGGCUUACCAAGGCUUUGACGUGUAGCCGGCCUGAGAGGGUGACCGGCCACAUUGGGACUGAGAUACGGCCCAGACUCCUACGGAAGGCAGCAGUGGGGAAUAUUGCACCAUGGGCGGAAGCCUGAUGCAGCAACGCCGCGUGCGGGAUGACGGCCUUCGGGUUGUAAACAGCUUUCGCCUGUGACGAAGCGUGAGUGACGGUAAUGGGUAAAGAAGCACCGGCUAACUACGUG
rnacentral:rRNA from 1 species